rnacentral:lncRNA from 1 species
CCAUUUAUCUUGGAAUUUCCGGAACUAGUUCACCUUUUGUAUCCCUUGGUGACAAAAGUUAGCGAGUGUGAUUGUGUGCUGGUUGUGAGGUCUCUUUGCUUGCAUUUGCAAGCAGAAAGAAGAAGCAGAACCUAGAGGGAAGGCUUACUUGGACCACGAAGGUCAUUGGCUUCCCUCUCCCCCCCUGCCGCUGACCAUGCAUGCAAAGUGGGCAUCCAGGCAUAGUGACACCGUACUCCUGAUCUUACUGGGGCCUCCUUGUUGCCCUCUCAGCAAUUGCAACAAGAUGCACCACUAACUGGGCAACAUGACAGAUUGGUUAUGGGACUCUGAUCUUUGAUGAAAUUCGUUGAACCUACCAUAAAGACAUCGCUGCCUAGUCACUACUAAAAUCAUGUCCAUUCAGGNCCUACCAUAAAGACAUCGCUGCCUAGUCACUACUAAAAUCAUGUCCAUUCAGGACGUGUAGUUGUACAUUGUAUGUGAUCAAAUGCUAACAAAAUGUAGUGUUCUCUGAUCCCGACAAAGUGCUGCUGCCUUCGAGGGAUCUUAUACUGUCAACUCGUUUCUUACUGUUGAAAAUUUGAAGUUGCUGGGUGAAAGUUGAUGCUCCCCUCCUGAAUGCCAGAUUUUUUUGGGUUUGAUUCUGGUAUUUUCCAUUUGAAAGUUGGGAACUGUUGGGUUGAUAGUUCUAAGUUUGUUCAAUUUAAAAUUUGGUGGUUGGAAAAUUGCAUACUCCGAUUGGAAGUUCUGGUUUCCAAAACUGCUGAAUUUAUGCUGAAGGCUACCACGAUCUGCAAUGGUCAAAGAGAUGUUAUCUGUCCUGUGAAUCAGAUGUUCCCAUAGCUGAUAGUUGCAGAUCUAUCUGAUAUUGUUAACACUGCCUGAGAGGAGUUCUUGGAAGAAAGCGGAGAGACUCCCUGGCUCAGCGGUCUUUUCCUUUCAGGUGCCAAUUUGGUGCAACUGGUACACAUAUACUUUCCAACACAAUAUCCGACCUUUCAGGUGCCAAUUUGGUGCAACUGGUACACAUAUACUUUCCAACGCAAUAUCCUACGCCGGCAUGCAAGUAUGUUAUCUACUUGUUUCAGUGUUUUGCUUGGUCAUUAUGCCAUCACGCCAUCUUCUGAAACCUGUAGUUCGGACAUGCGCUUCGUGUCUCUUAUAAC